AGGACGAACGCUGGCGGCGUGCUUAACACAUGCAAGUCGAGCGAGGCUCCUCCUUCGGGAGGAUGCCCUAGCGGCGAACGGGUGAGUAACACGUGGGCAACCUGCCCCUAGCACUGGGAUAACCCCGGGAAACCGGGGCUAAUACCGGAUACGACUUCGGAAGGCAUCUUCUGAAGUGGAAAAGGUUACUGGCUAGGGAUGGGCCCGCGGCCUAUCAGCUUGUUGGUGGGGUAAUGGCCCACCAAGGCGACGACGGGUAGCCGGCCUGAGAGGGCGACCGGCCACACUGGGACUGAGACACGGCCCAGACUCCUACGGGAGGCAGCAGUGGGGAAUAUUGCACAAUGGGCGAAAGCCUGAUGCAGCGACGCCGCGUGAGGGAUGACGGCCUUCGGUUGUAAACCUCUUUCGGCCCGACGAAGCGAGAGUGACGGUAGGGGUAGAAGGAAGCACCGGCUAACUACGUGCCAGCAGCCGC
rnacentral:rRNA from 1 species